rnacentral:rRNA from 1 species
UACGUAGGUGGCAAGCGCUGUCCGGAAUUACUGGGUGUAAAGGGCGUGUAGGCGGGUUAUUAAGUCAGAUGUGAAAUUCCAGGGCUCAACCCUGGCGCUGCAUCUGAAACUGAUGAUCUUGAGUACUGGAGAGGAAAGCGGAAUUCCUAGUGUAGCGGUGAAAUGCGUAGAUAUUAGGAGGAACACCAGUGGCGAAGGCGGCUUUCUGGACAGUAACUGACGCUGAGGCGCGAAAGCGUGGGGAGCAAACAGG